rnacentral:rRNA from 1 species
GAUGAACGCUGGCGGCGUGCCUAAUACAUGCAAGUCGAGCGAACAGACGAGGAGCUUGCUCCUCUGACGUUAGCGGCGGACGGGUGAGUAACACGUGGAUAACCUACCUAUAAGACUGGGAUAACUUCGGGAAACCGGAGCUAAUACCGGAUAAUAUAUUGAACCGCAUGGUUCAAUAGUGAAAGACGGUUUUGCUGUCACUUAUAGAUGGAUCCGCGCCGCAUUAGCUAGUUGGUAAGGUAACGGCUUACCAAGGCAACGAUGCGUAGCCGACCUGAGAGGGUGAUCGGCCACACUGGAACUGAGACACGGUCCAGACUCCUACGGGAGGCAGCAGUAGGGAAUCUUCCGCAAUGGGCGAAAGCCUGCCGGAGCAACGCCGCGUGAGUGAUGAAGGUCUUCGGAUCGUAAAACUCUGUUAUUAGGGAAGAACAAUUGUGUAAGUAAAUAUGCACGUCUUGACGGUACCUAAUCAGAAAGCCACGGCUAACUACGUG